UCAGAUAUGGUGUAGUGGCUAACAUUAUCGCCUCUCACGCGAUAGCCCGGGGUUCGAUUCCCCGUGUCGGAA
rnacentral:tRNA from 1 species